GUCCUAGCCCUAAACCAUCAGGACUUGGGGUUUGCCCUGUACGGGGCAAGUCCCGUAGCUAACGCGUUAAGUCCUGCGCCUGGGGAGUACGGUCGCAAGACUGAAACUCAAAGGAAUUGACGGGGCCCGCACAAGCGGUGGAACAUGUGGUUCAAUUCGACGCAACGCGAAGAACCUUACCUGGGCUUGAACCGCACAGGACCAUCUUUGGAAACAGAGACUUCCCGCAAGGGACCUGUGUAGAGGUGCUGCAUGGCUGUCGU
rnacentral:rRNA from 1 species